rnacentral:rRNA from 2 species
ACGGGAGGCAGCAGUGGGGAAUAUUGCACAAUGGGGGAAACCCUGAUGCAGCGACGCCGCGUGAGCGAAGAAGUAUUUCGGUAUGUAAAGCUCUAUCAGCAGGGAAGAAAAUGACGGUACCUGACUAAGAAGCACCGGCUAAAUACGUGCCAGCAGCCGCGGUAAUACGUAUGGUGCAAGCGUUAUCCGGAUUUACUGGGUGUAAAGGGAGCGUAGACGGUAAAGCAAGUCUGAAGUGAAAGGACGGGGCUCAACCCUGUGACUGCUUUGGAAACUGUUUAACUUGAGUGCCGGAGGGGUAAGCGGAAUUCCUAGUGUAGCGGUGAAAUGCGUAGAUAUUAGGAGGAACACCAGUGGCGAAGGCGGCUUACUGGACGGUAACUGACGUUGAGGCUCGAAAGCGUGGGGAGCAAACAGGAUUAGAUACCCUGGUA